rnacentral:rRNA from 1 species
AUACGGAGGGUGCGAGCGUUGUCCGGAAUUAUUGGGUUUAAAGGGUGCGUAGGCGGCUAUAUAAGUCAGAGGUGAAAUCCCAGGGCUCAACCUUGGAACUGCCUUUGAUACUGUAUAGCUUGAGUAUACUAGAGGUAGGCGGAAUUGAUGGUGUAGCGGUGAAAUGCAUAGAUAUCAUCAAGAACUCCGAUAGCGAAGGCAGCUUACUGGAGUAUAACUGACGCUGAGGCACGAAAGUGUGGGUAUCGAACAGGAUUAGAUACCCUGGUAGUCCACACUGUAAACGAUGAUCACUCGCUGUAUGCGAUAUACGGUAUGCGGCCAAGCGAAAGCGUUAAGUGAUCCACCUGGGGAGUACGCCGGCAACGGUGAAACUCAAAGGAAUUGACGGGGUCCGCACAAGCGGUGGAGCAUGUGGUUUAAUUCGAUGAUACGCGAGGAACCUUACCUGGGCUAGAAUGCCUUUGCAUAGAUCAGAAAUGGUC